rnacentral:rRNA from 1 species
UCAAAUGAGGAAAGGCUUACAGUGGAUAGCUAGUCACCUAGAGAUUAGAAAGGGCAUAGUAAUCAACGAAAUGCUUCGGGGAGUUGAAAAUGAGCAUAGAUCCGGUGAUUCCCAAAUAGGGAAACCUUUCAAACUGUUGCUGAAUCUAUGGGAAGGCAAGAGACAACCUGGCUAACUAAAACAUCUUAGUAUCCAUAGGAAAAGAAAGCAAAAGCGAUUCUCAUAGUAGCAGUGAGCAAAAUGGAAGUAGCCUAAAUUGUGAAAGUGGGGUUGUGGAAGAGCAAUACAAGCAUCGUGUUGCUAAGCAAAGAAACCUGACCGUUGCACCCUAGAUGGCGAAAGUCCAGUAGCCGAAAGCAUCAAUAGAUUAUGCUCUAACCCAAGUAGCAUGGGGCAUAUAUAAUCCCAUGUGAAUCAGCAAGGACCACCUUGCAAGGUUAAAUACUCCUGGGUGACCGAUAGCGAAGUAGUACCGUGAGCGAAGGGUGAAAAGAAACCCCAUCGAGGAGUGAAAUAGAAAAUAAAACCAUAAGCUACCAAGUAGUGGAAGGAGCCAGGGCUCUGACCGCAUGCCUGUUGAAGAAUGAGUCGGCGACUCAUAGGCAGUUGCUUGGUUAAGGGAACCCACCGGAGCCGUAGAGAAAGUGAGUCUUCAUAGAGCAAUUGUCACUGCUUAUGGACCCAAACCUGCAUGAUCUAUCCAUGACCAGGAUGAAGCUUGGGUGGAACUAUGUGAAGGUCAGAACCGACUGAUGUUGAAGAAUCAGCGGAUGAAUUAUGGUUAGGGGUAAAAUGCCACUCGAACCCAAAGCUAGUUGGUUCUCCCCGAAAUAUGUUGAGGCACAAUAGUUGACUGGACAUCUAAGGGUAAAGCACUAUUUUAGUGCAGGCUGCGAGAGUGUUACCAAAGCGAGGAAAACUCUGAAUACUAGGUAUGGCCUUAAAAUAAGAAAAAGAGGAGUCAAAGUCGGCUAGUGAGAUGAUGGAGGAUAAGCUUUAUCACCGAGAGGGAAACAGCUCAGAUCACCAGCUAAGGCCCCUAAAUGGCCGCUCAGUGAUAAAGGAGGUAGGGUUGUGGAGACAGCCAAGAGGUUUACCUAGAAGCAACCACCCUUGAAAGAGUGCAUAAUAGUUCACUGAUCGAGUGCUCUUGCGCCAAAGAUGAACGAGGCUAAGCGAUCUGCCGAAGCUGUGGGGUGUAAAAAUACAUCGGUAGGGGAGCGUUCUACCUUAGAGGAAAGCCUCCACAUGAGUGGUGGUGGAAGAAGUGGAAGCAAGACUAUCGGCUUGAGUAACGCAAACAUUGGUAAGAAUCCAAUGCCCUGAAAGCCUAAGGGUUCCUCCGUAAAGUUCAUCCACGGAGGGUGAGUCAGGGACUAAGAUCAGGCCAAAAGGCAUAGUCGAUGGACAACAGGUGAAUAUUCCUGUACUAACCCUUGUUGGUACCGAGGGACGAAGGAGGCUAGGUUAGCCGAAAGAUGGUUAUCGGUUCAAGAACAUAAGGUGUCCCUACCUUUUUUUCUAGGUAAGAAGGGGUAGAAAAACUUCCUCGAUCCAAUGUCCAAAUACUAGGUUCUACGGUGCUGAAGUAAUCCAUGCCUUACUCCCAGGAAAAGCUUGAACGACUUUAAGCAAGAGGGUACCUGUACCCAAAACUGACAUAGGUGGGUAGGUUAAGAAUACCUAGGGGCGCGAGAUAAAUUUCUUUUAGGAACUCAGAAAAAUAGUCCCGUAACUUUGGGAGAAGGGUACCUCUUCACAUCACAAAUGGGGUCGUAGUGACCAGGAUCGUACGACUGUUUACCAAAAACACAGGUCUUCGUAAUGUUGUAAGACCAUGUAUGGGGGCUGACGCCUGCCCAGUAUCGAAAGGUUAAGGAAGUUGGUGACCUGAUAAUAGGAGAUCCAGUGAUCGAAUCCCCAGUGAACGGCGGCCGUAACUAUAAUGGUCCUAUGGUAGGCAAUUUCUUGUCGGGUAAGUUCCAACCCACACGAAAGGCGUAACGAUCUUGGAACUUUCUCAAAGAAAGUUUCAGUGAAAUAGAUAUGCCUGUGAAGAUGCGGACUACCUUCACCUGGAUAGAAAGACCCUAUGAGAUUCACUGUUCCCUGGGAUUGGAUUUGGUCCUUUCCUGCGUAGCUUAGGUAAAAGGAAAAGAAGGCCUCCUUCCGGGGAUCUCUAGCCAUCAGUGAGAUUCCACUUUGGAAGGGCUAGAAUUCUAACCUUGUGUCAGGACCUAUAGGCCAAGGAACAGUCUUAGGUAGACAGUUUCUAUGGGGAGUAGGCCUCCCAAAAGGUAACGAAGGCGUGAAAAGGUUUCCUCAGUUUGGACAAAGAUUGGCCCUCAGUGCAAAGGCAGAAGGGAGCUUGACUGCAAGACCCACCCAUCCAGUUGGGACGAAAGUCAACCAUAGUGAUCCGACGGUGCCAAGUGGAAGGGUCGCCACUCAAUGGAUAAAAGUUACUCUAGGGAUAACAGGUUGAUCUUCCAAAAGAUCUCACAUCGAUGGGAAGGUUUCGCACCUCGAUGGCGGCUCUUCGCCACCUGUGGCUGUAGUAUGUUCCAAGGGUUGGGUUAUUCACCCAUUAAAGUGGUAUGUGAGCUGGGUUCAGAACAUCGUGAGAUAGUUCAGUCCAUAUCCAGUGUGGGAGUUAGAGCAUUUAGAGGACCUUUCCCUUGUACAAGAGGACCAGAAAGGACGCACCUUUGGUGUACCAGUUAUCUUGCCCACGGUAAACGCUGGGUAGCCAAGUGCGGAGUAGAUAACUGUUGAAAGAAUCUAAGUAGUAAGCCUACCCCAAGAUGAGUGCUCUCCUAUUCUGACUUCCCCAGAGUUUCCAGUAGCACAGCCAAGAUAGUGACGGAUUCUCUGCCCCUACGGGGAUAGAGCGAUAGAAGUUUUAUUGAGAAUUCAAGAGAAGGAUACUGCGAGAUGAGCUGUUUAUCAUUAAGAUAGGUGUCAAGUAGAAGUACACUGAUGUAUGCAGCUGAGGCAUCCUAACAGAUCGGUAGACAUGAACCU